AGAGCCACAGAAUUCAGCUCUGGUCCAAGGAAGGCCAAUAAUAUCACAUUCUGAUUUCUCCCCUCCCCCCCACAGAGGAGAACACCAAUUUGUGAGGGUAUGUAUCCUCCUUUGGACUUCAGAUGGGAGAGUAAAGGGAGAGGGUAUGGUUUGCAGGGAUAAACAUCAGCUCUGAUGAACCAAAUGAAAUGAAUGAGAAAGCCAUACUAGAGCUAAACACUACAAAUCAAUGUGAUCCCUCCUUACCCUUUCAUUGAAGAUGCCUGCCACAUGAAUGAUUCAUGGUGAACCAUCGACUCAGUACAGUCACUGCGAGAACACCAAGGCUUUGCUUACACAUGAUUACUCAGAACUGAGUAGGAGGAAAUCCCUGUCUCGGAUCAUGGGAGAUAAUGGAAUUCCAAAUCAGGAUGCCUUGGCGAAGUACAAGUACUUUCCCUUGGACCUUUGAAAUCCUUAAUGAGUUGAAUCAUGUCAAGUAACAAAAUAAACAAGGAUGAGAAACAU